GCUUGCCGCAGCACGGAGAACUCCUGCAGGUGGAAUCUGACCGAAAGGAAAAGUCAAGGUCACCAGCCUUCAUCUGCAGUCUCCAGGCAAAUGCACGGCUGGAGACGGAGACAGGACCUUCCCAACCCUCCUUGGGUCCAGGUGGGGCCACAUGCUUGGGUUCGUCAGUGGACGAUGAACGGCCGUGAGGGCAGCCAUUUCCAGACAGAGACAGCCUGGAUGCAGGAGGAGCAGAAAGAUAGACGAAAAAAUCCCAAGCAGGCUCCACACAGUCAGCGCGGGGGAGCCCGACGCGGGGCUGGAACCCACGAAACCGUGAGAUCGUGACCCCAGCCAGCCGAAUCCAAGAGUAGGACGCUUAGCGGAAUGAGCCACCCGGGCGCCCCGCCCCCGCCCCCCAAACAUCUCUCCAUCCUGUCUUGCAAACACUGCAGGACCGAUUCCAGUUUGGGUGUCGUGUGACCACACCCGCCUUCAUGAUGUCCCCAAAAGAGCGUAAGGCUCUGGUCGGCUGGCUCACUCUUUGAGACAAGGGCUACAGCCAGCCCUUCCUUGUACCGUAGGAG
rnacentral:lncRNA from 1 species